UCGGAUGGAUUAACAGUAACUUCAUCCCUUUCUCAGAGUCAUGUCAGUUUAUGUAAUUCUUGACUAAUUGUUUUGCCGUAUCAUGCAAUGUUCCUAUUCUUUUGUAUUCUAUUUCUUUUAUUCUGCACAAGGUUAUCUCGAUUUCAUUACAGAGGUCAAAGCUUCUAAAACACAUUUCUUUCAUUUUUUGAUUUGUUUUGCUUUUUUUUGUUGUUGUUCUUUUUUGUUGUUUUCCAGUUAACACAAAUAGCACAGCCAAAUGCCUUUGGAUGCAGCUGUGACUUAGGCAUGCAGUGAGACAAGGUUCCAAAGGCUUAAUCUAUAAGAGACUGAAAUGUUUUUAGCAUGCUGGAAACACAAGCAGGAGAUCUCUCUCUCUCCUUGACAAUUAGAGUAUUGUCAAGUCUUUCACAGGAAUUAUAUUUCAUAUUCAUUUUGGAUUCUGAAGUUUGCACGAAGACUUAACUAUUAGUCUGUUUGUUCAGUGCAUGAUUUUCCUUUGGGCACAUGACAUUAGCAGUUAGAAGCUUGAUUUACCUAUCUAUUGAACUUUUCACAUUUUAACUAUUUCAGAUUAACAACAACAAAAAGAGCCACAAACUUUCUAAUAUUUAUGUAUUAUAAAAAUGUAUUCUGUAUUUAUUUUGAUUAGAUAUGAAUAAUAAUAUCAGUAUGUUGUUGAAUGGAACAGGCUGCUCAGAAAGGCUGUGGAUGCCCCAUCCCUGGAGAUGUUCAAGGCCAGGUUGCAUGGGGCCCUGGGCAACCUGAUCUAGUAUUAAAAGGGGAGGUUGGUGGCCCUGCCUGCGGCCCUUCCAACACAGGCCAUUCUGUGAUUCUGUGGGUGCCAAACCAUGCGGUACCUGACAGCAAAAUGGCCGCUGCUCCGUGUCUUGCCAUGUGAGUGGGUUCACCUGAACUGGGAACAGUAAGCUGGUAGGAACGUAUUUCUGCCUGCACCUUCCAGCCAGCUCAGAGGGAAAUCAAUCUGCUCCCUUUCCACAGGUCAGCACUGUGUGUAAAGGGCAUAGAGCAAGCCGCUAAGUCUCCAGCCGCUAUUCUCUAUGAACCAAGGUUUGGUUGUCCCUAAACAAAGCAACACCAUUAGAGAGAGCACUUAAAUACGUGCACGAAUAAAUCUGGUUCUGCAUUCAUCUGUAGAUGCCUGGCUAAGCAUUGUGGUUGAAGUCAGCCCCUGAGACAGCAACCCUGAUGGACUUCCAGGAGUGAUGAAACCGCUGCUCAGACGGCUUCACUCAAUUUUUUAUAAUCAAAGAUAUCUUUCAAGGCAAUAAAUAAGUAUCUAACAUCAGAAAUUAAAGUCCAACAAACAAAAAGACCAAAAAAACCCACACUCACAAGAAGAGUUUGAAAAUAUUUCUGAACUCUCAUUUCAAAAAUGACAAGUGCUAAUUGUUUCUUUGGUCAUGUUGCUUGUAUCCUGAAUGUUAAAAGGAGUUAACAGAAAAAGGUAUCAAUUUGUCACAACAGUGCUAAUUAAUGUUUUACAUUUUUUUUCUCUCUUUUAAUAGACAAUUUGCUGUAGUGAGUGUAUCAGGGGUAAGUGAGAAUGGGGCUGCAAUAGUAUUUUUCUCAAAUUUCUUAAGUGCUUAAUCUACUCUAAGUAUUAACCUACUGCAGGGAACCUGCUUCAGCUGGGGAGUUGGAAUUGAACUCCGAACGCUACUGUUUUGUGGUUCUAAGAUUCAUGCUGCAUGAAGAUUCAAACGAAAAAAUGUCUCUUUUUGCAAAUUGAAGAACAAGGUAUUUUUUAGUAUUGGGAAAAUGUUUAUUCCGCUCAAGCUGUGGUGUACUAUAAAUAAAGGUCCAGCUGACUAAAAAAUUACCACCUGCACUGAAUUUUUCAUAAUUAUACUCGGUAUAUGCUAUUGGUAUUGAAACAUUAGUCAAUCUGUUCUCUACUUCUGUGCUUAAAACAAUAUAAAAUAAAAUAUUUGUCUGACUUGAUUCAGACACCUUCUAGGCAAGCAACAUAGAAACUUACAAACUGUUUCACACUGGCACAAAAACAUCGAUCCGUCUUUGUACUUACGCAAGUCCUGCUCUUUCCUGUUUUUAUAAUUUGUUCUCAAGCAAUAUUUCAACUGGAGCAAAAGUAAGUUACAUCUCACAGUUACAAAUGUGAUGUUUUUUGGUGGUUUGUCCUAAGCAAUAAUUAUAGCAAUAAUUGUCCUGAGGAAAGGAUGUUCAGGUGGAUGAGGCUGUGGGGCAAUAACACUGCAAUGUGUAGUGCCUAAAAAAAAAUAAAUUGCUCUCAUUUGCAGUAUUUUAGAUUUGCAGUGUGGUGGUUUAGGUCACAAGAGGGCUUUAUGCUAUAGGAAAAAUAAUGUAAUUGAGAUCGAUACAUCAAGGUUUGAGACCCCCUGCUUAAAAAUUUCAGAUUAUUUCAUCAAAGGAAGAACAACUCAUUUGCUGGGACAUGUGAAUCCCCACUUUGAAGGACAAAGGAGGAAAACUUCAUGUUUCAAAAGGACCUGCAAUUUGUGGGAAAUUGCGGUGGACUGUAUUUGCUUCAGAUCAUUUUGGUUCUCCCUGCCAGGUAAGGAAUUCAUAAUUAAUGGGAAGGCAAGUUGUUUAAUGGCUUAAGCCAUCGUACAAACAGGAGGAGGAUAUGAACUGUAUAAGAAGCAAAUGUGCAAAGCUGGAACCUCAAGUGGAGAAAAGGAAGUAAUGUAAGCGGAUAAUUUGAGGGGGUUAAAAUUAAUCCCUUGAUUUUCUCUGAUAUCAGGGAUUCUGGGCUAUGUAGAGCAGGGGUUUGCAGUCAUAAUCUAAGUAGCAGUAGCAGCCCAGAGAAUGGGGGGAAAGGGCAAAGCAUGGCGAUGCUCUUAACUGAAAGGGAGGGCAGAAGGUUAUAUGUUUCAUGAUACAGUGAGGCUGGGAUAACUGAGAAGAAUUUGCUUGCAGAAAGGUAUGAGAACUGCUGCUGUUUGCACUCUGACCUUCCAUUGUCCCUUGCACAGCAUUCAAAAGAACUGUGCCGUUCCCUUGAUCUAGUUAACAGAAAGAAACUGUGUCAAAUCUCUCCAUUCCCUAGCCAGCUGUCUUUCAGAUCACAUCUAUAUUAUAGAUUAUAUAUAUUAUUAGCAAGAUGGUAUGGUAUAAGACGUACAUUAAUUACUACUGUGUUGAACAUUAACCUGUAUGGAUAAGGACAAUUGCAUCUGCUGUAACAUAACCCUAAGCAACUCAUAACACUUCAGACAUAACAGCUCGUGUACACAGUCAUUCUUAAGUAACUUUUAACACAGUUAUUCAGAAUGAUUAAUGAUUCUUUUUCAAUAAAUAAGGCCUCGGAGUGUGUGUUUGUCAUUGUUUCCAUAUAGUACAAUACUCAAGUACUGUACUGGCUGCUCAAGUGAUUUUUGUAAGAGGUGGUGGCUUUGCUCUGAAAAGCAUUUACGUUUGGGAUCCGUGAUGUCCACUGAUGUAAGUUCUUGUAAGAGCUCCGAUAUUUAGAGAAAAUAUAAAAUGUACUUUAAUUGCUGAAGUUAAUUUUAACAAAACCUUUGAACUAUCUAAGCACUCUGAUGAAGUAGGCAUUAGAUUACAGUUCUGUUGUUAUGGUUUUGAACUGUGCAUUACUAUAAGAAAAACAAAAACAGCUCAAGAAAGGCAAAAUUUGAGCAUAAAAACCUCCAUGUUUCUUGGUUUUCUUUGCACAAUGUUAUUAUGCUUCUUCUGUGCUUUACAGAACAGUAUGGAUACUGAGGUUGCAGAAGUCAGCUAUGUUGAGAGGUAGAAGAUAGCUGUUUUGCAGCCCAGCACAAUAUUGCUGUUCACUUCAGGUCUAUCUUUCUGCAUAUGGAUGAUCCUGGGUACCCACUUGCUGCAUGGGAGAUUAGUGCCUCUGCCUCUUUACAGGACGAGAUGUUUGUUCUGCACUACACUCAGGCUAAGAAUAUUUAACAAAGCAGUAUGUAUGUAGAGGUGAUAGGAGACUCAUUAAACUGGUGAACACAUUUAUCAGAGGAACAGAUGUAAAUACAUUUGGUAACUUUAAGUUAUGCAAACUUGCAUUCUACUGACUCUACAGUCAAAUGUACUGAUUAUUUUUCUUAAGCAGGUCAUGCAUUGUGCUAGUGACUGCUCAAAAGUAAAUAUCACCAACAGCAGCGCAGAAAAAAGUGUUGGACAGACAUGAGUAGUAUGUACUAUAUUUCAAAUACAAGUCAUUAGUCAUUAACAGGACUCCAGCUGUUCAUGCUAGCAUUUACAUGUCCAUGAUGAAGAAAUGAAAAUCACAGUUGUCUUUAAGCAAAAUGUUUGUGUUUUUAGUUCCUUGCAGGUCCUGUUCUUUCAGCUGAUUAUGGACCUCAGUCUAUUUCUCAAGUUUAUUGAACUUCACAAGGUUCUCUCCUUGUAUUCUCAAGUCCACCUUUAUUUCAUAUUUACUGUAAUGGAAAGAGUGAGCUUGGACAUGGAGGUAUUCUGAAGAAAAUUCUGUUGUUGCUUUUCUGUUUUCUUUGUUCUUUUUUUCUUUCCUCAGAAAGAAAUCUGCUUCACUGCUGGUCAGUUGGCAGAAGAAGAAUCCAAGAACUACUGUAGAAUGAGGAAACUGGGAAGAACUGACCGAUUCCUGUCACUGCAGAGGUUUUUUGCUCUCAGUAUUAACAAGAGAUAAACAGGAAAGUUAUUUCUGCAUGCUGUGGGAGUGCCUCAUGAAGUAAUGAAGCUAUUGUAAAUAUAUAUGCCUAAAUAUGAAUCUGAAUUAAGAAGUGAUUGAAUAAGUUGUUUUUUCUACAUCAGUAAUGUAAAACAUUUGUUAUUGGCUGCUUUCUGUUUGUUCUCUGUAUAAGAGAAGAAAAGCCAAACUCCAAGAGCAAACAAAAAUCUAUAGACAAAGCUAGCCAUGUUCAGUGCUGAAAACUAAGUUGCGGGCACUAAAAAGAAGUAAAUAAUGAAGGUUUCCACAGCAACCUAAGUUCUGUUAGUGCAAAUUGAUGACUUUCAUUCUGUUUUAUUACAUAAUGAUAGAACAGAUACUCUAUAAAAAGUGCUGGGUGCAUUCGAA